CGCUGGCGGCAUGCCUAAGACAUGCAAGUCGAACGAGGUGGCCCAUAUUUGAUGGAGUGCUUGCAACAAAAUUAAAAAAUGGAUUUCCACCUAGUGGCAGACGGGUGAGUAACACGUGGGUGACCUACCUUUAAGCUGGGGAUAACAGUUGGAAACGAUUGCUAAUACCGAAUGAGAUAUAAUUGUCGUGAUUAUAUUGAAAGGAGCUUUCAAGCUUCACUUAAAGAUGGGCCUGCGGCGUAUUAACUAGUUGGUGGGGUAAUGGCCUACCAAGGUGACGAUGCGUAGCCGAACUGAGAGGUUGAUCGGCCACACUGGGACUGAGACACGGCCCAGACUCCUACGGGAGACAGCAGUUAGGGAUAUUCGUCAAUGGGGGAAACCCUGAACGAGCAAUGCCGCGUGAGUGAUGAAGGUCUUUGGAUUGUAAAACUCUGUUGUAUGGAAAAAAUGACUAGGUUAGGAAAUGAACUUAGUGUGAUGGUACCAUACCAGAAAGCCCCGGCUAACUACGUGCCAGCAGCAGC
rnacentral:rRNA from 1 species